rnacentral:rRNA from 1 species
CACGUAGGGGGCAAGCGUUGUCCGGAAUCAUUGGGCGUAAAGCGCGCGUAGGCGGCCCUGUAAGUCCGUUGUGAAAGUCAAAGGCUCAACCUUUGAAAGCCGAUGGAUACUGCAGGGCUAGAGUCCGGAAGAGGCGAGUGGAAUUCCUGGUGUAGCGGUGGAAUGCGCAGAUAUCAGGAGGAACACCAAUAGCGAAGGCAGCUCGCUGGGACGGUACUGACGCUAAGGCGCGAAAGCAUGGGGAGCGAACGGG